CUUAAAUGAAUUGACGGGGGCCCGCACAAGCGGUGGAGCAUGUGGUUUAAUUCGAUGCAACGCGAAGAACCUUACCUACUCUUGACAUCCUGCGAACUUGUGAGAGAUCACUUGGUGCCUUCGGGAACGCAGAGACAGGUGCUGCAUGGCUGUCGUCAGCUCGUGUUGUGAAAUGUUGGGUUAAGUCCCGUAACGAGCGCAACCCUUGUCCUUAUUUGCCAGCGGGUAAUGCCGGGAACUCUAAGGAGACUGCCGGUGACAAACCGGAGGAAGGUGGGGACGACGUCAAGUCAUCAUGGCCCUUACGAGUAGGGCUACACACGUGCUACAAUGGCCGGUACAAAGGGUUGCGAGCUCGCGAGAGUCAGCUAAUCCCGAAAAGCCGGUCUCAGUCCGGAUCGGAGUCUGCAACUCGACUCCGUGAAGUCGGAAUCGCUAGUAAUCGUGAAUCAGAAUGUCACGGUGAAUACGUUCCCGGGCCUUGUACACACCGCCCGUCA
rnacentral:rRNA from 1 species